rnacentral:rRNA from 1 species
GGAUGCGAUCAUACCAGCACUAAAGCACCGGAUCCCAUCAGAACUCCGAAGUGAAGCGUGCUUGGGUGAGAGUAGUACUAGGAUGGGUGACCUCCUGGGAAGUCCUUGUGUUGCAUUCC